GCCUUUAUAGCUCAGUGGUAGUAGCGUUGCACUUGUAAUGCAAAGGUCCAUCGUUCAAUCCGGUGUGGAGGCA